UACGUAGGGUGCAAGCGUUGUCCGGAAUUAUUGGGCGUAAAGAGCUUGUAGGCGGUUUGUCGCGUCUGCUGUGAAAUUUCGGGGCUCAACCCCGAACUUGCAGUGGGUACGGGCAGACUAGAGUGUGGUAGGGGAGACUGGAAUUCCUGGUGUAGCGGUGAAAUGCGCAGAUAUCAGGAGGAACACCGAUGGCGAAGGCGGGUCUCUGGGCCGAUACUGACGCUGAGGAGCGAAAGCGUGGGGAGCAAACAGG
rnacentral:rRNA from 1 species